UGCUCAUCGACGAGAAGUGAAUAAUGCAACAUGUUGGUAAGUUGUCCCUCCCAGCGGCCUUGAUAAAAGCCAGCUCGUACCCUUGUUCUUUUGGCCUGAUUUCUAGAUGGGGGAGGUGCUCGAGUCUCUCAUUUUAUAUGCAUUUUGCACUAAGAAUGAUUGUGUUCUACAACCUUUGAUUGGUUACUGGAUUUUUGCUUGUCCAGUUUUGGAGCUUUGGCGAUGAAGACGUGAAGGUGGUGGCUCGGAUCAGAUCCUUUCAAUAGUGCUACAACGCUUGCUCUUGGUCUCACCACCCGAAGGAACAAGCAGCGGUGAUGCGCGACCACGAGCCAGCAUUGGUGAACCAAGUCAUGGCAUUGUUGCAGGGUAUGGGGUGCCAUCAACUGGUGACGAUGACCUCCAGCUGGUUACAUGUUCGAUGAAAUGAUUGAAUAGGUUGCCGUCAUCUAUCAAUUUGUAUGGAGGGAUGCACAACCAACCAGUGAGGCAUUUUGUGCAUUUCUAUGGUUUCCCCUUUUCGAUUUAUAGAUAUUCUAUAGAGACAACAAAAGCAAAAUUAAUUGCUUAUUGGUAGCUGCAUCCCCUCAUUUUUCAACUCAUUUUUAUUUGUGCACUGGGAAUUUGUUAUUGUGGAGAAAGGUUUUAAGAUAUUAUUUGUGGCUGAGAAUGGUAGUCUGAUA